AAAGCCACUGACAACACCCUACAGCAAUGAUGCUUGCUGUUUACACUCACCAGAGGACCACACAGACAGGGAAGGGAUGAGAGAACAGCACAGGUGUGCUGGCUGGAGGUGAACACAACCCUAAAACUGCAUUUCCCACAAAAAUAUACACAGCUGCUGUCAAUAUUUUGGAUUUGUUUUUACACUGAUUUGUGCAAUAUUAUUUUUUGUAAAAAUAGACAUUAAGUAAACCUCAAGAUAAAAUGCAUCAAAUCUGAAAACAAACAAACAAAAAUACAAAAUAAAUAAAUAAAUAAAUACACAUUCGUUUAGCUACUGUAUGUAAAUAGGGACAUUAUGACUUUAAUUCUUAAUAUAUACAGCUAGUUUUAAAUAAUAUAACCAAACCGUAACCCUAAUAUAUAUAUAUAUAUAUAUAUAUAUAUAUAUAUAUAUAUAUAUAUACAUACACACACACACACACACACACAUAUUGUUUUUUUUUUUUUUUUUGUUUGUUUUUUUUUUUACAAAUGAGGAUUUCCCAAAAAGCAGGAGGUUUUGCCAGACUUAGCUAAUUUCU
ensembl:lncRNA